rnacentral:tRNA from 2 species
GGGUCCUUAGCUCAAUCGGUUAGAGCGCCCGCCUUUUAAGCGGUAGGUUUCGGGUUCAAGUCCCGAAGGACCCACCA